UACGUAGGCAGCAAGCGUUGUUCGGAAUUACUGGGCGUAAAGCGUGCGCAGGCGGUUUGCUAAGACAGGUGUGAAAUCCCCGGGCUUAACCUGGGAACUGCGCUUGUAACUGGCAAGCUAGAGUGUGGCAGAGGGGGGUGGAAUUCCACGUGUAGCAGUGAAAUGCGUAGAGAUGUGGAGGAACACCGAUGGCGAAGGCAGCCCCCUGGGCUAACACUGACGCUCAUGCACGAAAGCGUGGGGAGCAAACAGG
rnacentral:rRNA from 1 species